GUCUGAGACUUGUGCUUACCCAAGAUACACCAGACACUAUCUCUGAAGAAGAAAUUUGCAGUGGGAACAAAGGAAGACAGAGAAUUGGGAUAUGACUGACUGUCCUGUUUGGGGUCCUGUCCUGCUCUCUCAUAAUUGGGAAUACUGCUG
rnacentral:lncRNA from 1 species